rnacentral:rRNA from 1 species
UACGUAGGGUGCAAGCGUUGUCCGGAAUUAUUGGGCGUAAAGAGCUCGUAGGCGGUCUGUCGCGUCUGCUGUGAAAACUCGGGGCUUAACCCCGGGCCUGCAGUGGGUACGGGCAGACUAGAGUGCGGUAGGGGAGACUGGAAUCCUGGUGUAGCGGUGAAAUGCGCAGAUAUCAGGAGGAACACCGGUGGCGAAGGCGGGUCUCUGGGCCGUAACUGACGCUGAGGAGCGAAAGCAUGGGGAGCGAACAGG